rnacentral:rRNA from 1 species
CCUACGGGUGGCAGCAGUGGGGAAUAUUGCACAAUGGGGGAAACCCUGAUGCAGCGACGCCGCGUGAGUGAAGAAGUAAUUCGUUACGUAAAGCUCUAUCAGCAGGGAAGAAAUACUGACCUUACGGUCAGCAGACGGUACCUGAGUAAGAAGCCCAGGCUAACUACGUGCCAGCAGCCGCGGUAAUACGUAGGGGGCAAGCGUUAUCCGGAUUUACUGGGGGGAAAGGGAGAGUAGACGGUGCUCCAAGUCUGGAGUGAAAUGCCGCAGCUUAACUGCGGAACUGCUUUGGACACUGGCGACCUAGAGUGCGGGGAGGGCAAGCGGAAUUCCUAGUGUAGCGGUGAAAUGCGUAGAUAUUAGGAGGAACCCCUGUGGCGAAGGCGACUUACUGGACCGUAACUGACGUUGAGGCUCGAAAGCGUGGGGAGCAAACAGGAUUAGAUACCCUUGUAGUC